CUCACCUGUAAGCAGCGGCCAGGUCAGGAGGGGGACAAGGGAGAGGCUCCGAGCUGAAAGGCAGCCAGUCUGUGGGGACCAUGAGAGCAGACACAUGCAGACACACGCAGGUACAGCACUGCCCCGGGCCAGCAGGAAGGGUAUUGUGGUUCCAGCAAGAGGGGAACUGAGUGGUGUCAUCUGGUGCUGUGUCUUCACUUACCAGUGCUUUUAAUGUCAGUCAGACUGCUUCCCAGAUAAGAAAGGACUAGCAUACGGAGUCAGUACAGAAGAAGAAGAUUUCUUCUCCUCAAAGGUCUUUAUGCACCUUUUCCUCCAGCCCUGUGUUCUCUCCCUCACAUGAUGUAUAUGCACAUCUUCCUCCCCAUCCCCACCCCAGUCCCCCCCCCACACACACAUACCCCACCUGGAGGCCACCAUGGUCGUUGCUCAACCAGGCAAGUGCUUGUGACCCCAACCUCUGAAGUCCUGCAUCCUGAAGGUCCUAUACACUGCCUCAGAAGAACACAUAGUUUGGCUACAGCACCCCUUCUCGGCCAGUGAGAUGGGGCCUGACUAGCUUUCCCUACCUACCAGUGUUCUCAACCGUGAAUUCCCUCAAGUAUCAGAACUCCUUGCCUGGGCUGCUCACCGGGAGUGAGGAUUCCAAACAGUUGCCUGUGGAAUCCCAGGCUGCGUUGCCAGCACCCACCAUCACUUCAAUCCCACCCCAUAUCAGGACUUCAGAAACCCCAGGAGACACACCGCAUGUUCAUCAUUCUCUCAGGCGUGGUCUAAGCAUUUCUUUGUGGAAGGGCAUCACUCAGCAUAAUCUGAGGGAGAGGGUGAACUGGGUCAGCAGCCAUUUUGCGCCCAUUCUUAUCCCUUUUGUGCAAACCACAUUUCCACACUUUGCCUCCUGAGUCCAGAAAUUGGCCUCUGUGCCCAGUGGUAUUCAGAGAGGGCCAGCUGGGCUCCUAGUGGCCAUGAGUCCAGUUCUGGGACUUCAUGGCCUCUAAUAGAAAAUGCAGGUACCUGUAAGUCGUCAGUCUGUUGUGUACUCCCUCAGGCCCACAGAGAGGAAUGUUGCCUUAAAAUUGUGGAGCUUGGCAGUGUUUGAGUCAAUGAUCUCCCAGGGUACUGUGCCCUGUCAGGAUUCCUUCAAGGGGUGGUUUAAACCACGUGAAAAACGGUUCUUGAAUUUGGACUAUUCUUAAAAUGUGGAAGGCUUGAGCCAUGGCUCAAAGGGAGAGCACUUGCUUAGCUCUGGACUCAGGGUUUGAACUCAAGCAAAACAAAAAAGAGGGGGUGGGGAGUAGGAUUGUGUCUAGAGCGACUGCGGACAGGGUGCCUGGUACCUCUUUCUACCUAUUGUAACCUUACCUCCUGGCUGUUUCCUGUGGGAACAGGGACUGAGGAUGUCUGCAAAGAGCAUCUAGGACUUGUUGUAGCUUUUAAGCCUGUAAAGUGUUGAUUCUCCUCCUCCUGUAAUAAAACAGUUACCGGAGAAUACAAGA
rnacentral:lncRNA from 1 species